rnacentral:rRNA from 1 species
AGAGUUUGAUCCUGGCUCAGAACGAACGCUGGCGGCGUGGAUAAGACAUGCAAGUCGAGCGGGACAUCGUGGGUAGCAAUAUUCGCAAUGUCUAGCGGCGAAAGGGUGCGUAACACGUGGGCAAUCUGCCAUGAAGACCGGGACAACCUGCUGAAAGGCGAGCUAAUACCGGAUGUGGUAACUGGAAGGCAUCUUCAAGUUACUGAAGUUGGGUUCCGCAAGGUCCAACACUUCAUGAUGAGCCCGCGGCCUAUCAGGUAGUUGGCGGGGUAACGGCCCACCAAGCCUAAGACGGGUAGCUGGUCUGAGAGGACGACCAGCCACACUGGAACUGAGACACGGUCCAGACACCUACGGGUGGCAGCAGUCGAGAAUUUUUCUCAAUGGGCGAAAGCCUGAAGGAGCGACGCCGCGUGGGGGAUGAAGGGCUUCGGCCUGUAAACCCCUGUCAUUUGCGAACAAAGCCAACUGCUGAAAAGGCAGUGGGUUUGAUAGUAGCGAAAGAGGAAGGGACGGCUAACUCUGUGCCAGCAGCCGCGGUAAUACAGAGGUCCCAAGCGUUGUUCGGAUUCACUGGGCGUAAAGGGUGCGUAGGUGGCGUUGUAAGUUCGGUGUGAAAUCUUCGAGCUUAACUCGAAAAUGGCAUUGAAAACUAUAUCGCUCGAGGGUCGGAGGGGAGACUGGAAUUCUCGGUGUAGCAGUGAAAUGCGUAGAUAUCGAGAGGAACACCAGUGGCGAAGGCGAGUCUCUGGACGACUCCUGACACUGAGGCACGAAAGCUAGGGGAGCAAACAGGAUUAGAUACCCUGGUAGUCC